UACCAAGUGAGCCUUAAGCUUCAAUGCCA
rnacentral:piRNA from 1 species